rnacentral:rRNA from 1 species
GACGAACGCUGGCGGCGCGCCUAAUACAUGCAAGUCGAGCGAUGAAACUAGAACAGUACUCUUCGGGGCGAAGAGACGGUCGAUUAGCGGCGGACGGGUUAGCAACACUUGAGUACUCUGCUUAAUACAUUGGGAUAGAGCUGGUAAAGCGGGAUUAAUACAAAAUCAAAUUACAAUAAUACAUGCCAUAAUUACUAAAACUCCGGUGGUCUAACAGGGACCCGUGUCGCAUUAGUUAGUUGGCAGAGUAAAAGCCUACCAAUGCGUGGACGGGUAGCCGGGCUGAGAGAGUGAGCGGAGACAUUGAAACUGAGCAGCGGUCCAGACUCCUACGGGAGGGGGGAGUGGGGGAUAGUGCACAAUGGAGGGAACUCUGAUGGAGCUACGCCGCGUGAACGAAGAAGGCUUGCGAGUCGUAAAGUUCUUGUAUCUGGGAAGGUAAUGACGGUACCAUAAGAGAAAGCCCCGGCUAACUACGUG